GUAUCUAGAAGAAUGGACUUAAACAAUUAACAUCAUGUUCUGAACUAUUGAAAUGGUGUCUAGAAGAAUGGUCUUUAUGAAUUAACAUGCCAGCUAUAGAUUUUCUGGCAGGAAUUACAAAAAUCAUCAACAUUUUUCGUGAGUACUUAAACUUACAGCAUUCAUCUAUAAAGUUUACCUGUUUGAUUGCAGAACAUGUUAGUUUGCCCUUUCUAGAUGCGCUAAUUAUUCGAGAUGCUCAAAGUUUUUCAACAUCAAUCAUCAAUAUACCAAAAGAAACUAUUCUCAGGACAGCUAACCCAGUUUGAAUGA